rnacentral:rRNA from 1 species
UUCUUAAGUCUACUGUUAAAUCUUGAGGCUCAACCUCAAAUCUGCAGUAGAAACUAGGAGACUUGAGUAUAGUAGGGGUAGAGGGAAUUUCCAGUGGAGCGGUGAAAUGCGUAGAUAUUGGAAAGAACACCGAUGGCGAAGGCACUCUACUGGGCUAUUACUGACACUCAGAGACGAAAGCUAGGGGAGCAAAUGGGAUUAGAUACCCCAGUAGUCCUAGCCGUAAACGAUGGAUACUCGAUGUUGGACGUAUCGACCCGUUCAGUAUCUUAGCUAACGCGUUAAGUAUCCCGCCUGGGGAGUACAGCUCGCAAGAGUGAACUCCAAAGGAAUUGACGGGGGCCCGCACAAGCGGUGGAGGAUGUGGUUUAAUUCGAUGCAACGCGAAGAACCUUACCAGGGUUUGCUAGAAGUGUUGGUUUUCUGAAAAGAAUUCCUUAUUCCGCUUCUACAGGUGGUGCAUGGCUGUCGUCAGCUCGUGUCGUGAGAUGUUGGGUUAAGUCCCGCAACGAGCGCAACCCUUAUUUUUAGUUCUAUUGUCUAGAAAGACUGCCGGUGACAAACCGGAGGAAGGUGAGGACGACGUCAAGUCAUCAUGCCCCUUACANCCUGGGCUACACACGUCCUACAAUGGGUAAGACAAUAAGUUGCAAAUUCGCGAGAAUAAGCUAAUCUUUGAAACCUACUCCAAGUACAGAUUGCAGGCUGCAACUCGCCUGCAUGAAGGUGGAAU